rnacentral:rRNA from 1 species
CCAGUGGCGAAAGCGGCUUGCUAGAUCGUAACUGACGUUGAGGCUCGAAAGUAUGGGUAGCAAACGGGAUUAGAUACCCCGGUAGUCCAUACCGUAAACGAUGGGUGCUAGUUGUUAAGAGGUUUCCGCCUCCUAGUGACGUAGCAAACGCAUUAAGCACCCCGCCUGAGGAGUACGGCCGCAAGGCUAAAACUUAAAGGAAUUGACGGGGACCUGCACAAGCGGUGGAGCAUGUGGUUUAAUUCGAAGAUACGCGAAAAACCUUACCAGGUCUUGACAUACCAAUGAUCGCUUUUGUAAUGAAAGCUUUUCUUCGGAACAUUGGAUACAGGUGGUGCAUGGUCGUCGUCAGCUCGUGUCGUGAGAUGUUGGGUUAAGUCCCGCAACGAGCGCAACCCUUGUUAUUAGUUGCCAGCAUUUAGUUGGGCACUCUAAUGAGACUGCCGGUGAUAAACCGGAGGAAGGUGGGGACGACGUCAGAUCAUCAUGCCCCUUAUGACCUGGGCAACACACGUGCUACAAUGGGAAGUACAACGAGUCGCAAACCGGCGACGGUAAGCUAAUCUCUUAAAACUUCUCUCAGUUCGGACUGGAGUCUGCAACUCGACUCCACGAAGGCGGAAUCGCUAGUAAUCGCGAAUCAGCAUGUCGCGGUGAAUACGUUCCCGGGUCUUGUACACACCGCCCGUCAAAUCAUGGGAGUCGGAAGUACCCAAAGUCGCUUGGCUAACUUUUAGAGGCCGGUGCCUAAGGUAAAAUCGAUGACUGGGAUUAAGUCGUAACAAGGUAGCCGUAGGAGAACCUGCGGCUGGAUCACCUCCUUUCUAAGGA